AACGAACGCUGGCGGCAUGCCUAACACAUGCAAGUCGAACGAUUGCCUUCGGGUGAUAGUGGCGCACGGGUGCGUAACGCGUGGGAAUCUGCCCUUAGGUUCGGAAUAACAGCUGGAAACGGCUGCUAAUACCGGAUGAUAUCGCGAGAUCAAAGAUUUAUCGCCUGAGGAUGAGCCCGCGUUGGAUUAGGUAGUUGGUGGGGUAAAGGCCUACCAAGCCGACGAUCCAUAGCUGGUCUGAGAGGAUGAUCAGCCACACUGGGACUGAGACGCGGCCCAGACUCCUACGGGAGGCAGCAGUGGGGAAUAUUGGACAAUGGGCGCAAGCCUGAUCCAGCAAUGCCGCGUGAGUGAUGAAGGCCCUAGGGUUGUAAAGCUCUUUUACCCGGGAAGAUAAUGACUGUACCGGGAGAAUAAGCCCCGGCUAACUCCGUG
rnacentral:rRNA from 1 species